rnacentral:rRNA from 1 species
CAGCCGCCGCGGUAAUACGAAGGGGGCUAGCGUUGCUCGGAAUGACUGGGCGUAAAGGGCGCGUAGGCGGUGGCCAAAGUCAGGCGUGAAAUUCCUGGGCUCAACCUGGGGGCUGCGCUUGAUACUUGGUUGCUUGAGUGGGGAAGAGGGUCGUGGAAUUCCCAGUGUAGAGGUGAAAUUCGUAGAUAUUGGAAAGAACACCGGUGGCGAAGGCGGCGACCUGGUCUUUAACUGACGCUGAGGCGCGAAAGCGUGGGGAGCAAACAGGAUUAGAUACCCCCGUAGUCCCUGUCUCUUAUAC